rnacentral:rRNA from 1 species
GAUGAACGCUGGCGGCGUGCCUAAUACAUGCAAGUCGAGCGAACAGACGAGGAGCUUGCUCCUCUGACGUUAGCGGCGGACGGGUGAGUAACACGUGGAUAACCUACCUAUAAGACUGGGAUAACUUCGGGAAACCGGAGCUAAUACCGGAUAAUAUAUUGAACCGCAUGGUUCAAUAGUGAAAGACGGUUUUGCUGUCACUUAUAGAUGGAUCCGCGCCGCAUUAGCUAGUUGGUAAGGUAACGGCUUACCAAGGCAACGAUGCGUAGCCGACCUGAGAGGGUGAUCGGCCACACGGGAACUGAGACACGGUCCAGACUCCUACGGGAGGCAGCAGUAGGGAAUCUUCCGCAAUGGGCGAAAGCCUGACGGAGCAACGCCGCGUGAGUGAUGAAGGUCUUCGGAUCGUAAAACUCUGUUAUUAGGGAAGAACAGAUGUGUAAGUAACUAUGCACGUCUUGACGGUACCUAAUCAGAAAGCCACGGCUAACUACGUG